rnacentral:lncRNA from 1 species
GCCCCAGAUAAACCUCUCUUUCAGAUUAUGGUUUCCAACUGAACUCCUGUGCACUGAAGAGAGGGCACCGAAUUCUUGAUUGUUUCAAGAAAACCUCUUUGAGUAAUCCCUUGAGCUUGCCUACAGGGCUUGGAUUUCCUAAUGGAUGCUUUGAUGACAGGAGAUAAGAGCCAAAGUAGUGAACUAAGAUCAGUCACACUGACCCACUGUGAGUAUUUCCUGAUUCUCCUAAUGAGGACAACCUCCCUGACAAAUCUGAUCCUGGAAACCCACAUAAUUUGGCACUGUAUCUGAAACAAUUGUCUUGCUGGUCCUUUUGGGAGGAAAGAGAAUCUUUUCUGAAGCAUGUUUGUAAGAAAUAGCAUGUUCUCAACACCAACAAAAGCAGAACAGCUCUCUUGCUACAGCUGAGCUUGGGAAAGUCCUGGAAGGACCCUGUGGAGCUUGGGAUUUCUUAAUCAGAACAGAGUUCUGCAGCCCUUUGAAGGCCCUGGCUCAUAUUGGUGAUGAUGGACGUGGAGUCCCACUCCCUCUGGGCAUACACGUUCACUCUCCCUCAUAUAUGAAGAAUAAAGGUGGAAUUUAAUGUUCCUUG